rnacentral:pre_miRNA from 1 species
AUUAGUCUAUGAUGAUUAUGCUCGGGUUGAUAAUGUUCUCGUGAAUCAAAAUAACUGACGAGACGAAGUCGAGUUCGGUUAUUUGGCUCCAGAUUCACUUGAACAUUAUCAAUCCGAGCAUAAUUAUCUCCU